AUAUUGUACAAUGGGGGCAACCCUGAUCCAGCCACGCCGCGUGUGUGAAGAAGGUCUUCGGCUUGUAAAGCACUUUAGGUUGGGAGGAAGGGCAGUAUGUUAAUACCUUACUGUUUUGACGUUACUGACAGAAUAAGCACCUGCUAACUGCGUGUCAGCAGCCGCGCUAAUACGAAGGGUGCAAGCGUUAAUCGGAAUUACUGGGCGUAAAGCGCGCGUAGGUGGUUUGUUAAGUUGGAAGUGAAAGCCCCGGGCUCAACCUGGGAACUGCUUUCAAAACUGGCAAGCUAGAGUAUGGCAGAGGAUGGUGGAAUUUCCUGUGUAGCGGUGAAAUGUGUAGAUAUAGGAAGGAACACCAGUGGCGAAGGCGACCACCUGGGCUAAUACUGACGCUGAGGUGCGAAAGCGUGGGGAGCAAACA
rnacentral:rRNA from 1 species